rnacentral:rRNA from 1 species
GAUGAACGCUGGCGGCGUGCCUAAUACAUGCAAGUCGAACGAGACCUUCGGGUCUAGUGGCGAACGGGUGAGUAACACGUUGGUACCUGCCUCGAAGUGGGGAAUAACUGCCCGAAAGGGUGGCUAAUACCGCAUAAUACCGCAAGGUUAAAGCAGUAAUGCGCUUCGAGAGGGGCCUGCGUCCCAUUAGCUUGUUGGUAGUGUAAUGGACUACCAAGGCGACGAUGGGUAGCUGGAUCGAGAGGUUGACCAGCCACACUGGGACUGAGAUACGGCCCAGACUCCUACGGGAGGCAGCAGUAAGGAAUCUUCCACAAUGGACGAAAGUCUGAUGGAGCAACGCCGCGUGCAGGAUGACGGCCUUCGGGUUGUAAACUGCUUUUAUAUGGGAAGAUUAUGACGGUACCAUAUGAAUAAGCACCGGCUAACUACGUGCCAGCCGCCGCAGUAA